AUGGAGGCCGUCCUGCGACAUCCAUCCCUUUCCCGCCUCAAAGCCCCGAACCCAGCUGCUCACAGAACCCAGUACCUCUCCAUCACGGUCCCUCGCCGUCCUCGCGUCCCCAAGCGCCGCCUCGCCGCCGCCGCCGCCGCGCUGUUCCAGGACCAGACCAACCCAAGAACCGCGGCAGCAAGCAAGCGGGGCGAUGAAGAAGACGAGGAGGGGUACGGAGAGGUGGACCGCAUCGUCUCCACUCGAACCGUCAAGAACGCGGUGUUCGCAGAGGACGGCUCGGCCACCACCGUCACCGCCACGGAGUACCUCGUCGAGUGGAAAGACGGGCACGAGCCGACCUGGAUCCCGGCGGAGGCGAUAGCCGCGGACGUGGUGGCGGAGUACGAGACGCCGUGGUGGGAUGCCGCCAAGAAGGCCGAUGCGGAUGCGCUGGGCGCGCUGCUGGCGGACGAGGCGCUGCGGCGGGACCCGGACGCCGAGGACGCGCAGGGGCGCACGGCGAUGCACUUCGCGGCGGGGCUCGGGUCGGAGGAGUGCCUGCGCUUGCUCGCGGAGGCGGGGGCGGACGUGGGCCACGCGGAGCGCGCCGGCGGAGGGCUGACGCCGCUGCACAUCGCGGCGGGGUACGGCCGCGCGACGGGCGUGCGCGCGCUGCUGGAGCUGGGCGCCGACGCGGAGGGCCCCGACGGGAAGGGCCGGACGCCGCUGGAGCUGGUGCAGGAGGUGCUGGCCGCGACGCCCAAGGGCGUCCCAGCGGCGUUCGAGCGGCGACAGGCGCUCGAGGCGGCCGCGAAGGAGCUGGAGAAGGCGGUGUACGAGUGGGGCGAGGUGGAGAAGGUGGUGGACGGGCGCGGCGAGGGCAAGUGGCGGGAGUACCUGGUGGAGUGGCGCGACGGCGGCGACCGGGAGUGGGUGAAAGCGCCGUGGGUGGCGGAGGACCUGGUGAAGGACUUCGAGGCCGGGCUGGAGUACGGCGUCGCGGAGGCCGUCCUGGACAGGAGGCAAGCGGCGGACGGCGACGGGGACGGCAAGUGGGAGUACCUCGUCAAGUGGGUGGACACCGAGGAGGCGACGUGGGAGCCCGCGGAGAACGUGGACGCGGAGCUCGUGCAGGAGUUCGAGCGGCAGCAGCCGGGGAACGGUGGUGCCGCAUCGCCGGCGGAGACAUUUGCCGGGUGA
rnacentral:rRNA from 1 species